AAAAGAGGAACUUCUUUUUCUUGUCGAGUUGUCCGGGCGGCAGAACACAGUGGACUGCAAUUGCUUCUAUCUGGGCCAAAGGAACUUCGCAAUCCCCUCAAGAACACGGGUACCUUAAGAGAAGGAAUGUACUAAAUCUCGCCUAACGCAUUUGCGGCACCAACAGGAGGCCCCGGUGUGUUUGGAAACAGCAGAUCUACAGAAGAAAAACACAUGGAGAAAGAAAAGGAGCUGAUAGAUGCCGCCGGGCGAGGUGACGAGGUCAGAGUUCAGCAGCUCCUAGCCGAGGGAGUCAAUGUCAAUGCUGCCGCCCACG